GAUUUUUGGUUAAGUUACUAAGGGCAUAUGGUGGAUGCCUUGGCACGAGAAGUCGAUGAAGGACGUGGUAAGCUGCGAUAAGCUCCGGGGAGAUGCAAACGAUCUAAGAUCCGGAGAUUUCCGAAUGGGAUAACCCAUCCCGCCCGAGCGGGAUACCUCCUGCUGAACACAUAGGCAGGAAGGAGACAACAGAGGGAAUUGAAACAUCUCAGUACCUCUAGGAAAAGAAAGCCAAUGCGAUUCCCGAAGUAGCGGCGAGCGAAACGGGAACAGUCUAAAUCUACUGCAUGUCAAGCCUGCGUGCGUUGUGCAGUAGAGGUUGCGGGAAGGAACUGGAUAGAGAUGCAGCUCUGUCGGGAAGUCAAAAAACAUUAUCUUAGUCGAACCGAUCUGGAAAGCCGGCCAAAGAAGGUGAUAGCCCUGUAGGCGAAAAGAUAAUGUCUUCCUCGGUUCUUCUCCCAAGUACUGCGGGACACGUGAAAUCCCGUGGGAAUCCGGGUGGACCAUCAUCCAAGACUAAAUACUCUCUCGUGACCGAUAGUGAACCAGUACCGUGAGGGAAAGGUGAAAAGCACCCCUGGCGGGGAGUGAAAUAGUACCUGAAACCGUAUGCCUACAAGCAGUGGGAGUCCCGCUUCGGCGGGAUGACCGCGUGCCUUUUGCAUAAUGAGCUGGCGAGUUACUCUAUGCAGCAAGGUUAAUCUGUUUAGCAGAGCAGCCGAAGCGAAAGCAAGUCCAAAUAGGGCGAUUGAGUUGCAUAGAGUAGACGCGAAACCAGGUGAUCUACCCAUGGCCAGAGUGAAGCGACCGUAACAGGUCGUGGAGGCUCGAACGCACGGAAGUUGAAAAUUCUGGCGAUGAGCUGUGGGUAGGGGUGAAAGGCUAAUCAAACUUGGUAAUAGCUCGUUCUCCUCGAAAUAGCUUUAGGGCUAGCCUCAUAGGAGAGUGACGGAGGUAGAGCACUGGAUGGACUAGGGCUCUCACAAGGGUACCAAACCCAACCAAACUACGAAUGCCGUACACUUGCUCUAUGGGAGUCAGGCGAGGGGGGAUAAGCUUCUUCGCCAAAAGGGAAACAACCCAGAUCAUCAGCUAAGGUCCCUAAGUGUAGACUGAGUGAGAAAGGAUGUGAAAUCGCUUAGACAACCAGGAUGUUGGCUUAGAAGCAGCCAUCAUUUAAAGAGUGCGUAAUAGCUCACUGGUCAAGCGCUUUUGCGCCGAUAAUAAUCGGGACUAAGUCUACCACCGAAGCUGUGGGCUCAAUCGUAAGAUUGAGCGGUAGAGGAGCGUUCCACUAACCUGCGAAGGUACACCGUCAGGUGUGCUGGAGGACGUGGAAAUGAUUAUGCCAGCAUAAGUAGCGAUAAUCCCGGCGAGAACCCGGGACACCGAAAAUCUAAGGUUUCCUGAGUAAAGUCAAUCUGCUCAGGGUUAGUCGGUCCCUAAGCCGAGGCCGAAUGGCGUAGGUGAUGGAAAACAGGUGAAUAUUCCUGUACCGUCUUGAGAUCGUCUGAACGAUGGGGUAACGCAGAAGGGAACGUCAGCCAGGCGUUGGAUGUCCUGGUCUAAGCUGGUAGGAGGAUCGGGUAGGUAAAUCCGCUCGAUCACGACUCCGAGAAGCGAAUGGGAAAUGCGGCUUUUGCCAAACCAACUGACAUGUACCAUGCUGCCAAGAAAAACCUCUAAGUGAGAUCGAUAGGCGACCGUACCGCAAACCGACACAGGUAGAUGAGGAGAAAAUCCUAAGGUGCUCGAGCGAGCUCUGGUUAAGGAACUAGGCAAACUAACCCCGUAACUUCGGAAGAAGGGGUGUCCUGCUUGGUCAGGUCCCUCGCGGACCAAAGCUAAGCGGGAUCGCAGAGAAAUGGCCUGGGCGACUGUUUACUAAAAACACAGGUCUGUGCGAAGUCGUCAAGACGACGUAUACGGACUGACACCUGCCCGGUGCUGGAAGGUUAAGAGGAGAGGUUAUCCCGAGCAAUCGGGAGAAGCUUUGAAUCGAAGCCCCAGUAAACGGCGGCCGUAACUAUAACGGUCCUAAGGUAGCGAAAUUCCUUGUCGGGUAAGUUCCGACCUGCACGAAUGGUGUAACCCACAACGGGACGGAAAGACCCCAUGAACCUUUACUAUAGCUUAGCACUGUGUUUCGGUAUUGCAUGUGUAGGAUAGGUGGGAGACGUCGAUCCGGCGGCGCUAGCCGUCGGGGAGUCAACCUUGAAAUACCACCCUUGUUAUAUUGAGACACUAACCUGGCACCCUGAUCGGGUGUAGGGACCCUGCUAGGUGGGUAGUUUGACUGGGGCGGUCGCCUCCCAAACUGUAACGGAGGCGCCCAAAGGUUCCCUCAGCAUGGUCGGCAAUCAUGCGUAGAGUGCAAGCGCAUAAGGGAGCUUAACUGUGAGACUAACAGGUCGAACAGGUGCGAAAGCAGGGGCUAGUGAUCCGGCGGUAGUGUAUGGAAAUGCCGUCGCUCAACGGAUAAAAGGUACUCUGGGGAUAACAGGCUUAUCGGGCCCAAGAGUUCACAUCGACGGCCCGGUUUGGCACCUCGAUGUCGGCUCAUCGCAUCCUGGGGCUGGAGAAGGUCCCAAGGGUUUGGCUGUUCGCCAAUUAAAGCGGUACGUGAGCUGGGUUUAGAACGUCGUGAGACAGUUCGGUCCCUAUCUGUUGUGGGCGUAGGAAAUUUGAGGGAUGCUGCUCGUAGUACGAGAGGACCCGAGUGGACGGACCUCCAGUAUACCAGUUGUCAUGCCAAUGGCAUAGCUGGGUAGCUGUGUCCGGAUGGGAUAAGCGCUGAAGGCAUCUAAGCGCGAAACCCUUCCCAAGAUGAGAUUUCCCUGGCCGUAAGGCCACUAAAGGCUCCUCGCAGAUGACGAGGUCGAUAGGUCACAGGUGCAAGAAUGGCAACAUUUUUAGCCGAGUGAUACUAAUCAGCCGUGCGGCUUAACCAAUUU
rnacentral:rRNA from 1 species